AUUUGACCUCGGAUCAGGUAGGGAUACCCGCUGAACUUAAGCAUAUCAAUAAGCGGAGGAAAAGAAACCAACAGGGAUUGCCCUAGUAACGGCGAGUGAAGCGGCAACAGCUCAAAUUUGAAAUCUGGCUCUUUCAGAGUCCGAGUUGUAAUUUGCAGAGGGUGCUUUGGCAAAGGUUGUGGUCUAAGUUCCUUGGAACAGGACGUCACAGAGGGUGAGAAUCCCGUACGUGGCCGCCAACCCGCGCUAUGUAAAGCCCCUUCGACGAGUCGAGUUGUUUGGGAAUGCAGCUCUAAAUGGGAGGUAAAUUUCUUCUAAAGCUAAAUAUUGGCCAGAGACCGAUAGCGCACAAGUAGAGUGAUCGAAAGAUGAAAAGCACUUUGGAAAGAGAGUCAAAAAGCACGUGAAAUUGUUGAAAGGGAAGCGCUUGCAGCCAGACUUGCCUGUAGUUGCUCAUCCGGGCUCUUGCCUGGUGCACUCUUCUAUAGGCAGGCCAGCAUCAGUCUUGGCGGUCGGAUAAAUGCGUGCUAAACGUACCUCUCUUCGGGGAGGACUUAUAGGGCACGCGGCAUACGACCAGCCGGGACUGAGGUCCGCGCAUCUGCUAGGAUGCUGGCGUAAUGGCUGUAAGCGGCCCGUCUUGAAACACGGACCAAGGAGUCUAACAUCUAUGCGAGUGUUUGGGUGUCAAGCCCGAGCGCGUAAUGAAAGUGAACGGAGGUGGGAACCCCUCGGGGUGCACCAUCGACCGAUCCUGAUGUCUUCGGAUGGAUUUGAGUAAGAGCAUAGCUGUUGGGACCCGAAAGAUGGUGAACUAUGCCUGAAUAGGGUGAAGCCAGAGGAAACUCUGGUGGAGGCUCGCAGCGGUUCUGACGUGCAAAUCGAUCGUCAAAUUUGGGCAUAGGGGCGAAAGACUAAUCGAACUAUCUAGUAGCUGGUUCCUGCCGAAGUUUCCCUCAGGAUAGCAGUAACGUUUUCAGUUUUAUGAGGUAAAGCGAAUGAUUAGAGGCCUGGGGGUUGAAACAACCUUCACCUAUUCUCAAACUUUAAAUAUGUAAGAAGUCCUUGUUACUUAAUUGAACGUGGACAUUUGAAUGUAUCGUUACUAGUGGGCCAUUUUUGGUAAGCAGAACUGGCGAUGCGGGAUGAACCGAACGCGGGGUUAAGGUGCCAGAAUGCACGCUCAUCAGACACCACAAAAGGUGUUAGUUCAUCUAGACAGCAGGACGGUGGCCAUGGAAGUCGGAAUCCGCUAAGGAGUGUGUAACAACU
rnacentral:rRNA from 1 species